GUUUGCGUAAGGCCUUCCUCUCUCCAUGUCGUGAAUGAUCGACCGACAACCCAUCACGCCCUUGUUCAAAUUGGGAACCAAUUUCAACAGCAACUUCAUCUCUAGGAGAACUUGUUCCACUCUGAUGAAUACUCGUUCGUUCACACUGUGCCUUUGAACAGUUGUUCACAUGUGAGACAUUCAAUGAUUGCGAAUGACUCUUCACACCGGUGUGCAUCCAUUCCUGAAUAAUUUGUCUCACUCUUUCGCGUUCAACCUCCCCAAGAUCACUAGAUCGAUCUGAGCUAACACUGCGGCCAUCAUCAAAGUAAUUAUCUAACUCGAUAUGGCUUUGAUUUUGGUCCUCAUU
rnacentral:misc_RNA from 1 species